UACGUAGGGCGCAAGCGUUAUCCGGAAUUAUUGGGCGUAAAGAGCUCGUAGGCGGUUUGUCGCGUCUGCCGUGAAAGUCCGGGGCUCAACUCCGGAUCUGCGGUGGGUACGGGCAGACUAGAGUGCGGUAGGGGAGAUUGGAAUUCCUGGUGUAGCGGUGGAAUGCGCAGAUAUCAGGAGGAACACCGGUGGCGAAGGCGGGUCUCUGGGCAACUACUGACGCUGAGGAGCGAAAGCGUGGGGAGCGAACAGG
rnacentral:rRNA from 1 species